rnacentral:rRNA from 1 species
GACGAACGCUGGCGGCGUGCCUAAUACAUGCAAGUCGAACGGAAAGGCCCUGCUCUUGUGGCGUUCUCGAGUGGCGAACGGGUGAGUAUCACGCGUGUAACCUCCCCCUUUCUUUGGGGUAACACCUGGAGACACGGGCUCUUAUACGGUAUGAGCUCUUGCAGCAUAGGGUUGAUUGAUAAGAUUCGGCGGUUCGGGAUGGACUCGCGGCUUAUCAGCUUGUUGGUGAGGUAGUGGCUUACCAAGGCUUCGACGGGUAGCCGGCCUGAGAGGGUGACCGGGCACAUGGGGCCUGGGGUAGGGGCCAGACGGCAACGGGAGGCAGCGGGGGGAAACAUGGCGAAAUGGGCCGAAGGCUGAAAGAACGAUGUCGGGUGCGGAAAGACGGCUUGUGGGGUAUAAACCGCUUUAGACUGUAACGAACAGUGAGUGACGGUAACGAGUAAGAAAGCAACGGCUAACUACGUG